UUCGUAGGGGGCCAGCGUUGUCCGGAUUCAUUGGGCGUAAAGAGCGUGUAGGCGGCCAGGUAGGUCGGUUGUGAAAACUGGAGGCUCAACCUUCAGAGGUCGACCGAAACCAUCUGGCUAGAGUCCGGGAGAGGAGAGUGGAAUUCCUGGUGUAGCGGUGAAAUGCGCAGAUAUCAGGAAGAACACCCGUGGCGAAAGCGGCUCUCUGGAACGGUACUGACGCUGAGACGCGAAAGCGUGGGGAGCGAACAGG
rnacentral:rRNA from 1 species